rnacentral:rRNA from 1 species
CCUACGGGUGGCAGCAGUGGGGGAUAUUGCACAAUGGGGGGAACCCUGAUGCAGCGACGCCGCGUGGGUGAAGAAGCGCCUAGGCGCGUAAAGCUCUGUCAGCAGGGAAGAAAAUGACGGUACCUGAAGAAGAAGCGACGGCCAAAUACGUGCAAGCAGCCGCGGUAAUACGUCGGGGGCCAGCGUUAUCCGGGUGUACUGGGUGUAAAGGGGGCGCAGGCGGCGAUGCAAGCCAGGAGUGAAAGACAGGGGCCCAACCCCGGGACUGCUCGUGUAAAUGCGGUGCUGGAGGGGAGGAGGGGCAGGCGGAAGUCCUGGUGUAGCGGUGAAAUGCGUAGAUAUCAGGAGGAACACCGGUGGCGAAGGCGGCCUGCUGGACUGCAACUGACGUUGAGGCCCGAAAGCGUGGGGAGCAAACAGGAUUAGAUACCCCUGUAGUC